rnacentral:rRNA from 1 species
GAUGAACGCUGGCGGCGUGCCUAAUACAUGCCAGUCGAGCGAACGGACGAGAAGCUUGCUUCUCUGAUGUUAGCGGCGGACGGGUGAGUAACACGUGGAUAACCUACCUAUAAGACUGGGAUAACUUCGGGAAACCGGAGCUAAUACCGGAUAAUAUUUUGAACCGCAUGGUUCAAAAGUGAAAGACGGUCUUGCUGUCACUUAUAGAUGGAUCCGCGCUGCAUUAGCUAGUUGGUAAGGUAACGGCUUACCAAGGCAACGAUGCAUAGCCGACCUGAGAGGGGGAACGGCCAACAUGGAAACGAGGCACCGUUCCAGAGCCUACGGGAGGCAGCAGUAGGGAAUCUUCCGCAAUGGGCGAAAGCCUGACGGAGCAACGCCGCGUGAGUGAUGAAGGUCUUCGGAUCGUAAAACUCUGUUAUUAGGGAAGAACAUAUGUGUAAGUAACUGUGCACAUCUUGACGGUACCUAAUCAGAAAGCCACGGCUAACUACGUG